UUUAUCGAAAUCUUCCUAUAUAAGUAGUACAAUAUUCUAUCUAUCUACGUUUUAUCUGAAUAAAACAAAGCUUUACAAUGAGAACCAUUUUUGCUCUCUGCUUGAUUAUCGCCAUCAUCGGAAUGGCAAUGGGUGGCGUUCACCAUUACAAAGUUACUCAUGCUCCUGAACAUGAUUCUGGCCAUCAUGGAAGUAUCUUUGAUGAAGCUGCUAGCACCAUUAAUGGAAUUUUCGGCUAAGUGUGAAAUGAAGCUGGGUCAAUUCUGGAUUUCUUGAAAUAAAAUUUGUUUCUGCUUUGCA